GACGGAGGGGGCUAGCGUUGUUCGGAAUGACUGGGCGUAAAGGGCGCGUAGGCGGUUUUUUAAGUGAGGCGUGAAAGCCCUGGGCUUAACCUAGGAGGUGCGUUUCAUACUGGAAGACUUGAGUACGAGAGAGGAAAGUGGAAUUCCUAGUGUAGAGGUGAAAUUCGUAGAUAUUAGGAAGAACACCAGUGGCGAAGGCGACUUUCUGGCUCGUAACUGACGCUGAGGCGCGAAAGCGUGGGGAGCAAACAGG
rnacentral:rRNA from 1 species